UACGAAGGGUGCAAGCGUUACUCGGAAUUACUGGGCGUAAAGCGUGCGUAGGUGGUUUGUUAAGUCUGUUGUGAAAGCCCCGGGCUCAACCUGGGAAUGGCAAUGGAUACUGGCAAGCUAGAGUGCGGUAGAGGGAUGUGGAAUUCCAGGUGUAGCGGUGAAAUGCGUAGAUAUCUGGAGGAACACCGGUGGCGAAGGCGACAUCCUGGACCGGUAUUGACGCUGAGGCGCGAAAGCCAGGGGAGCAAACGGG
rnacentral:rRNA from 1 species